rnacentral:rRNA from 1 species
GAUGAACGCUGGCGGCGUGCUUAACACAUGCAAGUCGAACGGAAAGGCCGAAGCUUGCUUCGGUACUCGAGUGGCGAACGGGUGAGUAACACGUGGGUGAUCUGCCCUGUACUUCGGGAUAAGCUUGGGAAACUGGGUCUAAUACCGGAUAUGACGAUCUCUUGGAUGGGGUUGUGGAAAGCUUUUGCGGUAUGGGAUGAGCUCGCGGCCUAUCAGCUUGUUGGUGGGGUAAUGGCCUACCAAGGCGUCGACGGGUAGCCGGCCUGAGAGGGUGUACGGCCACAUUGGGACUGAGAUACGGCCCAGACUCCUACGGGGGGCAGCAAUGGGGAAUAUUGCACAAUGGGCGCAAGCCUGAUGCAGCGACGCCGCGUGGGGGAUGACGGCCUUCGGGUUGUAAACUCCUUUCGCAAUCGACGAAGCCUUUUGGUGACGGUAGGUUGAGAAGAAGCACCGGCUAACUACGUG